AAACAUGCAAGUCGAGCGGAUGAAGGGAGCUUGCUCCUGGAUUCAGCGGCGGACGGGUGAGUAAUGCCUAGGAAUCUGCCUGGUAGUGGGGGAUAACGUCCGGAAACGGGCGCUAAUACCGCAUACGUCCUGAGGGAGAAAGUGGGGGAUCUUCGGACCUCACGCUAUCAGAUGAGCCUAGGUCGGAUUAGCUAGUUGGUGGGGUAAAGGCCUACCAAGGCGACGAUCCGUAACUGGUCUGAGAGGAUGAUCAGUCACACUGGAACUGAGACACGGUCCAGACUCCUACGGGAGGCAGCAGUGGGGAAUAUUGGACAAUGGGCGAAAGCCUGAUCCAGCCAUGCCGCGUGUGUGAAGAAGGUCUUCGGAUUGUAAAGCACUUUAAGUUGGGAGGAAGGGCAGUAAGUUAAUACCUUGCUGUUUUGACGUUACCAACAGAAUAAGCACCGGCUAACUUCGUGCCAGCAGCCGCGGUAAUACGAAGGGUGCAAGCGUUAAUCGGAAUUACUGGGCGUAAAGCGCGCGUAGGUGGUUCAGCAAGUUGGAUGUGAAAUCCCCGGGCUCAACCUGGGAACUGCAUCCAAAACUACUGAGCUAGAGUACGGUAGAGGGUGGUGGAAUUUCCUGUGUAGCGGUGAAAUGCGUAGAUAUAGGAAGGAACACCAGUGGCGAAGGCGACCACCUGGACUGAUACUGACACUGAGGUGCGAAAGCGUGGGGAGCAAACAGGAUUAGAUACCCUGGUAGUCCACGCCGUAAACGAUGUCGACUAGCCGUUGGGAUCCUUGAGAUCUUAGUGGCGCAGCUAACGCGAGAAGUCGACCGCCUGGGGAGUACGCCCCCACGGUUAAAACUCAAGAUGAAUUGACGGGGGCCCCCACAAAACCGUGGAACCGGUGGUUUAAUUCGAAG
rnacentral:rRNA from 1 species